ensembl:snRNA U4 U4 spliceosomal RNA
AGCUUUGUCAGUGGCAGUAUUGUAGCCAAUGAGGUUUAUCCGAGGUGUGAUUAUUGCUAAUUGAAAACUUUUCCCAUCCCAGCCUUAGUCGGUGUGGUCGUGCUACCUGGUGCAUGCCAUGUGUUACUGUUUCCAGACA